rfam:Triticum urartu cultivar G1812 contig397470, whole genome shotgun sequence.
CACAUACUCCGUUCGUCCAAAAAUACUUGUCAUCAAAAUAGAUAAAAGAGGAUGUAUCUAGACGUAUUUUAGUUUUAGAUACAACUUUUUUUAUCCAUUUUGAUGACAAGUAUUUUCGAACGAAGGAAGUAUGAU